AGGUUUUUAAGCAGACAGUUCCAGAUUUUAUUGAAAUUGUAACAAAGUUGCUACAUUAUUGUCAUUCGUAUGUUGCAAAGAAACAAUCCAAUCUAACAAACUGGCAUCCUGUGCUAGGCUGGUUUAAACAACCAUCAGAUGAAAGACUGAGCAGUUCCAUAUCACAUGUGAGAAAGCAGCUUCAGUCGCUAUGGAGAAGAAAAGUUGUGAAUCUUCUGUUUGAAGAUUUAUUACUUCUCAGUCAGCAAGAGGAUGAAGACCCCAGAGCCAAAGAAGACAAAGGU